GACGAACGCUGGUGGCGUGCCUAAUACAUGCAAGUCGAGCGAAUCUUUAGGAGCUUGCUCCUAAAGGUUAGCGGCGGACGGGUGAGUAACACGUGGGCAACCUGCCUAUAAGACUGGGAUAACUUCGGGAAACCGGAGCUAAUACCGGAUAAUUCCUUUCCUCUCAUGAGGAAAGGCUGAAAGACGGUUUCGGCUGUCACUUAUAGAUGGGCCCGCGGCGCAUUAGCUAGUUGGUGAGGUAACGGCUCACCAAGGCAACGAUGCGUAGCCGACCUGAGAGGGUGAUCGGCCACACUGGGACUGAGACACGGCCCAGACUCCUACGGGAGGCAGCAGUAGGGAAUCUUCCGCAAUGGACGAAAGUCUGACGGAGCAACGCCGCGUGAGUGAUGAAGGUUUUCGGAUCGUAAAACUCUGUUGUUAGGGAAGAACAAGUACGAGAGUAACCGCUCGUACCUUGACGGUACCUAACCAGAAAGCCACGGCUAACUACGUGCCAGCCGCCGCCGUAAUAC
rnacentral:rRNA from 1 species